GCCUGGACAGCUCAGUUGGUUAGAGCAUGGUGCUGAUAAAUGCCAAGGUUGGAGGUUCAAACCCCAUAUGGGACA